GGGAUAAUCGGAAGAAAUUCCGUCUAAUACCGCGUAACGUCCCGGGAGGGCAUCCUCUUGGGAUUAAAGGAGCGAUCCGGCUGCGGAUGGUCAUGCGGCGCAUUAGCUUGUUGGCGGGGUAACGGCCCACCAAGGCGACGAUGCGUAGGGGUUCUGAGAGGAAGGUCCCCCACACUGGUACUGAGACACGGACCAGACUCCUACGGGAGGCAGCAGUGAGGAAUAUUGGUCAAUGGCCGGGAGGCUGAACCAGCCAAGUCGCGUGAGGGAAGACGGCCCUACGGGUUGUAAACCUCUUUUGCCGGGGAGCAAAUGGCGGGACGCGUCCCGCGUCGAGAGUACCCGGAGAAAAAGCAUCGGCUAACUCCGUGCCAGCAGCCGCGGUAAUACGGAGGAUGCGAGCGUUAUCCGGAUUUAUUGGGUUUAAAGGGUGCGCAGGCGGGAUGUCAAGUCAGCGGUAAAAUCGGGAGGCUCAACCUCUCUCAGCCGUUGAAACUGGCGUUCUUGAGUGGGCGAGAAGUAUGCGGAAUGCGUGGUGUAGCGGUGAAAUGCAUAGAUAUCACGCAGAACCCCGAUUGCGAAGGCAGCAUACCGGCGCCCGACUGACGCUCAUGCACGAAAGCGUGGGUAUCGAACAGGAUUAGAUACCCUGGUAGUCCACGCAGUAAACGAUGAAUACACGGUGUGCGGCCCGAACGGGGGCUGCGCGGCCAAG
rnacentral:rRNA from 1 species